rnacentral:rRNA from 1 species
GACGAACGCUGGCGGCGUGCCUAACACAUGCAAGUCGAACGGACUGAUUUAGAGCUUGCUCUGAAGAAGUUAGUGGCGGACGGGUGAGUAACGCGUGAGUAACCUGCCUUUAAGAGGGGGAUAACGUUUGGAAACAGACGCUAAUACCGCAUAACAUUUGGUAUCGCAUGGUACUAAAAUCAAAGGAGCAAUCCGCUUAAAGAUGGACUCGCGUCCGAUUAGCCAGUUGGCGGGGUAACGGCCCACCAAAGCAACGAUCGGUAGCCGGACUGAGAGGUUGAACGGCCACAUUGGGACUGAGACACGGCCCAG